GGGCCCGUAGCUCAGCCAGGCAGAGCGGCAGGCUCAUAACCUGUUGGUCGCCGGUUCGAAUCCGGCCGGGCCCA
rnacentral:tRNA from 1 species